rnacentral:tRNA from 1 species
CGCAGGAUAGAGCAGUCUGGUAGCUCGUUGGGCUCAUAACCCAAAGGCCGGUGGUUCAAAUCCACCUCCUGCAA